rnacentral:tRNA from 1 species
UCCCUGGUGAUCCAAUGGUUAAGAUUCUGUGUUUCUAAUGCAGGGGCUGUGGGUUUGAUCCCUGGCUGGGGAA